rnacentral:snoRNA from 1 species
UGCCAGUGCAGAGCAAACAUCUUAUUUUAACCCCUGUUCUGGUCCCAGAGCCAGUAAAGGUGACCCCGCUGGGGCUAACUGGGAGAGAGGAUAAGAACUUAUUCCAUAAGGAACUGUCUGGGGAAG